rnacentral:misc_RNA from 1 species
CAAGUGACCCCGGUUUACCACCGGGAUGUUCAUAACCCUUUGUUGUCCGACUCUGUUGCCUCCGGGGCGACCCUGCCUUCGGGGCGGGGGGCUCCGGGUGGACACUUCAAACUCUUGCGUAACUUUGCAGUCUGAGUAAACUUAAUUAAUAAAUUA